rnacentral:misc_RNA from 1 species
GAUGAAGAACGUAGCGAAAUGCGAUAAGUAAUGUGAAUUGCAGUAUUCAGUGAAUCAUCGAAUCUUUGAACGCACAUUGCGCCCCUUGGUAUUCCGAGGGGCAUGCCUGUUCGAGCGUCAUUAUAACCCCUCAAGCUCAGCUUGGUGUUGGGGCCUGCUGCACUGGCAGCCCUUAAAAUCAGUGGCGGCGCCAUCUGGCUCUAAGCGUAGUAAUUCUUCUCGCUAUGGAGUCCUGGUGGAUGCUUGCCAUCAACCCCCAAUUUUUCUAUGGUUGACCUCGGAUCAGGUAGGGAUACCCGCUGAACUUAAGCAUAUCAAUAAGCGGAGGA